UAAUACGGAGGGUGCAAGCGUUAUCCGGAUUUACUGGGUUUAAAGGGUGUGUAGGCGGGUCUAUAAGUCAGUGGUGAAAUCUCCGGGCUCAACCCGGAAACUGCCAUUGAUACUAUAGGUCUUGAAUAUUGUGGAGGUGGGCGGAAUGUGUCAUGUAGCGGUGAAAUGCUUAGAGAUGACACAGAACACCGAUUGCGAAGGCAGCCCACUACGCAACUAUUGACGCUGAGGCACGAAAGCGUGGGGAUCAAACAGGAUUAGAUACCCUGGUAGUCCACGCCCUAAACGAUGAUUACUCGACAUCAGCGAUAAGACUGUUGGUGUCUGAGCGAAAGCAUUAAGUAAUCCACCUGGGAAGUACGAUCGCAAGAUUG
rnacentral:rRNA from 1 species